rnacentral:lncRNA from 1 species
CCAGCUCGUAGGGGGCUGGGCGGUCAGCGGGGUCAAGGGACAGCCACGCUGGGACGGAGGACGGGGACAGGGGAGCCCCUGCGGCGCCACUUCUUCCUCUCCGAGUCCUGUCUGCCCUUGAUGGAGCCACUGGUGGGGUUACUUGCUGGCGGUCGGCCACUUUCGCCCCUCCCUCGCCAGCCCGCCAGCUCCCUAAGGUUUUGUGGUUUUUUGUCACCACCACACCUCAGUGUUGAGCUAAGUGAGGACGUCCCCCCAGCAAAUGUAUUGGACGGAAGGAAACGCUGUGCGGGAGGAGGCGGAGGAAAGUAGGCCACCCGGGGCUCAAGUGAGAACAAGCACCAAGCCCUGUGGAUUUCAGAAGAACUCCACCUCCACAGAGUCCUCAAAGAUCUUCUCCUGAACUCCGCACUCCCCAGCCUUGAGAGGAGACACAGGAGCUGGAGGAAGCAGCUUUAUCCCUCACUUUGUGGUUCAGUCCAGCCUGUUUUCCAAGGGGUAAAGGGCAGUGGAAGGAUAACUAAGAAAAUAAUAAUAACAAAUGAAAGCAUCUCUGUGGAG